AGAAUUUUAGUGAAUAUGAUAAUGUUAAGGAAUACUUUAAGUAUAUAUUGAACUUUGUAUAUCAUAAAUUUCUUCUUGUAAGAUUAAAAUAAAGAAGAGACAUGGCUAAAAACAAUAGUACGACGCAUGCACUAAUGUUGUUGAUUACUAUUGUAGUGAUUAGUAGUUGUGCUUCUGUUGAAUUAGAUGGCAAUAUUCAUGAAUUUCCUUCCAAGAGUAAAAGGCUGAGGGAGUGUAUUGCUAAAUGCAAUCAUCGUUAUUUGCGUUUGCCUUCUACGUCUUAUUCGGAAAAGAUUGAAAAGCUUUCGAAUUGCAUUCGGGAAUGUUAUGCUACGUAUUACAAUGUUGGUGUCUAUUACUAUAUGCGGAUCUAUAGACGCCGUGCGGAUGAGAUCACGUUGUAGUAAGGCUCAAGGUGGCGCUAUGAUAGACGAUACAUAAGGUGAUAUUGAUGAUGGCCUAUUAUUGUGGCAUUAUGAUGAUAAAUGACAUUAUUUAUAUUAACGAUAACGACCUAUGACAUUGUGAUGACAAUUGAGAUUAUGAAAAUUAAUGUUGAGAUUAAUUAUUUCUGCCUUA